GAGCUCAGUGGCAGAGCAUCUUCUUUGCAUGCAGAAGGUCCCUGGUUCAAUACCCGAGCAUCUCCA